rnacentral:rRNA from 1 species
GGGGCAGCAGUGGGGAUUUUCCGCAAUGGGCGAAAGCCUGACGGAGCAACGCCGCGUGAGGGAUGAAGGCCUCUGGGCUGUAAACCUCUUUUAUCAAGGAAGAAGAUCUGACGGUACUUGAUGAAUAAGCCACGGCUAAUCCGUGCCAGCAGCCGCGGUAAU